UGCAGAUGCAAACUUUUUAUUGGUAACCAGGGUACAAUUAUAAUCAAUUUUAUUUUCUCACGGUAGAAAAUGUUGAGUACAACAAAAAAUAUUUGUCUUUUAUACCAAACUUUUAUAAUAAUAGAGACUUUUACUGUUGUGCCUAAAUCAACUUUGAUUUGGCGUAUUGGCUAAACAUGUCAGCUGCUGUUCUUGUAACUGAAUAAAUUUGUUCUUCAGGUCCAAAAGGAUUUGAAAACCAGAUUAAAUUUCCUUUAAUACAGAAAAUGAGUAAAAUUAUUUGGAAGUUUUGGAUCUAUAAUGAAUAAAAUCCCUUUAGAUUCUCUAGUAUUAUUGUUUCUUUUUCCCUUUCUUUUAGUUUCACUGUUGUCUUGAUGAUUUUGGCCCACUCUGCGUCCACUGAAAACAGAAAAUCUUACCAAGUAUCUUUGUCUGGUUUCUCGUGGGUCGUUAAGUCGCCUCUCAUUGUCGGUUUGGUAGAAUAACUUCUUUCAUCAUGCAGCGAUAACUGGUUGUAUGCUAACAACACGCUAGCUAAAGUUAAGAUGACAAGAUAAAUGCGGGUAACCAUGGUAACCAGUUUAAACGCGGCCCGGUUCUUUCUGCAGUCAAGUAGCGCGUCCAUCCGCCGUGUUUGCAAACAAAUAGUCCGUCUGUCUGUCUCGCUGCAACUUAAUGAAGGUUAAAGCAGAAGUCCUUGGUCAGACUGUUUCUGCAGCGUCCCUCUCUCUGCCCUGCGGACAACAGGGACGCGUCCAGCUGGAGGAAAAUCUAAUCAGGCUGAAUGCUCCGUCUCUUCUCAACACUGCGCUUUUAUGGCUGGGACCAGACGAGCCCCAGAAACGCCGCCUGUGUGGCUGUCUGGCUCCGAGUGUGAGAUCUAUGUUGACUUCAUCCGUAAUGGCCGCUGGCGGACAGACGAGGCAGUGUGCCGGGAUGAGCGGAGCUGCCGGCCGGUCGGCGUGCGGAUGACACGGUCCUGAGUCGAGGCGCUGCGUGACUCGGUUCUGUUCGGUUCGGUUCUAUCAGCAGCACCUGUGGUUAAAACAGAAAGGAAGGAAAACGGAUUUGAUUCUGCAACAUGAGUUCAAGUUAGAGGAAACUCGGAGAUAAGGUUCUGUUACGGUGCAGCUGUGCUUUUAAAUGUUUCUUUUUCA